AUUGAACGCUGGCGGCAGGCCUAACACAUGCAAGUCGAACGGUAACAGGAAGCAGCUUGCUGCUUCGCUGACGAGUGGCGGACGGGUGAGUAAUGUCUGGGAAACUGCCUGAUGGAGGGGGAUAACUACUGGAAACGGUAGCUAAUACCGCAUAACGUCGCAAGACCAAAGAGGGGGACCUUAGGGCCUCUUGCCAUCGGAUGUGCCCAGAUGGGAUUAGCUAGUAGGUGGGGUAACGGCUCACCUAGGCGACGAUCCCUAGCUGGUCUGAGAGGAUGACCAGCCACACUGGAACUGAGACACGGUCCAGACUCCUACGGGAGGCAGCAGUGGGGAAUAUUGCACAAUGGGCGCAAGCCUGAUGCAGCCAUGCCGCGUGUAAGAAGAAGGCCUUCGGGUUGUAAAGUACUUUCAGCGGGGAGGAAGGGAGUAAAGUUAAUACCUUUGCUCAUUGACGUUACCCGCAGAAGAAGCACCGGCUAACUCCGUG
rnacentral:rRNA from 1 species